rnacentral:rRNA from 1 species
UACGUAGGUGGCAAGCGUUGUCCGGAAUUAUUGGGCGUAAAGCGCGCGCAGGUGGUUUCUUAAGUCUGAUGUGAAAGCCCACGGCUCAACCGUGGAGGGUCAUUGGAAACUGGGGAACUUGAGUACAGAAGAGAAGAGUGGAAUUCCACGUGUAGCGGUGAAAUGCGUAGAGAUGUGGAGGAACACCAGUGGCGAAGGCGACUCUUUGGUCUGUAACUGACGCUGAGGCGCGAAAGCGUGGGGAGCAAACAGG